UGAAGAACCAGCCUGCCUCCAUCUUAGGU
rnacentral:piRNA from 1 species